GUGGGUAUAGCUCAGUGGUAUAGUGAAUGCCUAGCAUGCAUGAGGUCCUGGGUUCAAUCCCCAGUACCUCCA
rnacentral:tRNA from 1 species